rnacentral:misc_RNA from 1 species
UUCCUCCGUUUCACAAUAUAAGUUAUUCUAUCAUUUCCUAUAUACAUAUUGAUGUUAAUGAAUCUAGAUAGAUAAUAUCUAGAUUCAUUAACAUCAAUAUGAAUGUGGGAAAUGCUAGAAUGACUUAUAUUGUGAAACGG